UGAGUAGCACAGAUGAUCGCGGCUGCAAGUGUCGAAAGACCGCAGGUGAGGAAAGUCCGGGCUUCGCAGGGCAGGAUGCCGGAUAACGUCCGGUGGAGGUGACUCCCAGGCCAGUGCAACAGAAAAGAACCGCCAGAAUAUCUGGUAAGGGUGAAAAGGCGAGGUAAGAGCUCACCGCGUUUCUGGUAACAG
rnacentral:ncRNA from 2 species